rnacentral:rRNA from 1 species
UACGAAGAUGAAAGACAUACCUCGACCCUCGCAGACGGAUAACCUGCGGGCUUCUCGCAGUCCAAAUUAGGAACCAUACUUCUACUUCUACUGCUUAAUGCCGCGGGGUGAACCCGAAUGUUCACCCUACACCAAAGGCUCUACUGCUUGCUACAGUUAGAGUACAUGGUCUUCAUGCAACGGCUCAACCUGUGCUAAUGCGGACUCGUCCACCUUACCGUCGGUAUACCGCGGCUACUGUCUGAACCCAUGUGGGGCCUCAAAUGGUAGUUGGGCUACACGAACGCCCUAUCCCUAGAGACCGCAUACGCCACGGGUGACUAUACGUUGACCCGACAACUCAAAGUAAACGGUGUAGCGCACAGAGCAGUCAAACCAGACAAGGUCGGAGUGGGCGGCCUUACCCACCUAUGCCUGUUUCGUGAAGUAUCCAACCUGUCCUCUUCCGUCGCCUUCUAUUUCCUGACCCUGUUCGUAGUACGAAGCAUACAAUGGGCGAAGGUCGAAACACACCUCCUUCGAGCAUCGUCACGUGCGCGGUUCGAAGCACUCGUAACAGGUGAACGAAAACUAUUGAUGUAUGCUACCGAAGAACUUUUAUGAGCUCAACUCUAUACGGGCGGCCGUAUAUUACUCCUAUAAGAACUUCUUGGGCAUUUGAAACUCCUAGAUAGUUUCCCCUUCAUGUUGUCUCUACAGUCCCAUCCCGUGCCUCAGGGACGACAAGGCCACUAAUUGAUACACGCGUGACUCUAGUUCUUUCGUCGACUACUCUCGGUCAGAUAAGACCUCCUUUGUGGCCAACCUUUUCCGUUACUACUACCAGGUGAUGCUCGUAAGGAGUUCGCAGUCCGGUCCUUCAAUUCCGCCAAUAGCUUAGAAGAGCCAACAGCACUAGGGCUUUAACUACUUGGUAGACGGAGAUCCAGACCAUGUGGUAGUCUGGGGAGUAAAGUGGUAGUCUCCCUGCUACACUCAAGGAGUAUACGAAUAGUCCUACUACUCCCA